GAUGAACGCUGGCGGCGUGCCUAAUACAUGCAAGUCGAGCGAACAGACGAGGAGCUUGCUCCUCUGACGUUAGCGGCGGACGGGUGAGUAACACGUGGAUAACCUACCGAUAAGACUGGGAUAACUUCGGGAAACCGGAGCUAAUACCGGAUAAUAUAUUGAACCGCAUGGUUCAAUAGUGAAAGACGGUUUUGCUGUCACUUAUAGAUGGAUCCGCGCCGCAUUAGCUAGUUGGUAAGGUAACGGCUUACCAAGGCAACGAUGCGUAGCCGACCUGAGAGGGUGAUCGGCCACACUGGAACUGAGACACGGUCCAGACUCCUACGGGAGGCAGCAGUAGGGAAUCUUCCGCAAUGGGCGAAAGCCUGACGGAGCAACGCCGCGUGAGUGAUGAAGGUCUUCGGAUCGUAAAACUCCGUUAUUAGGGAAGAACAAAUGUGUAAGUAACUAUGCACGUCUUGACGGUACCUAAUCAGAAAGCCACGGCUAACUACGUG
rnacentral:rRNA from 1 species